UGUGAAUAUGCUUCUGGAAUUCCAGAGGAGGAGCUGAGCCAAUAAUAUGUCCAACUAUAAUGCAGAACUGUUGUAAUUACUUAGGAACAGUGGGAAUGAUAGCAGAGUAUUGUCAGUAAUCGCACGUCAAAUUCUGCCAUUCCCUAAAAUAGGACAACCACAGAGCAACUCUGCUGGGACCCAUAGGGCUGUGUUGGCUCGGAGGUGGUUGGGAAAGAAGAGAAGGGGCUGAUCUUGGAGUUACCCAAAAGCAGUGGCAAACCAAAGGCAAGGAAACUGCAACUUGAAGAGUCAGACAUCAGAGGACGAAGUUGCCGCAUGUAUCCCAGCACUGCUAAACUUGUGGCUUAGAAACAAGGAUGGAAAUAUUUCUGGACGACACUCAUUUCCCAAUGCUCCGUAGAGACCGCAGAACCUUGCAAAACAGUUCGCAUUCGUCAAUGUUUUAUUCCUAUGACUAAAACCCCGUGGGAUUUAAGUGUGCUUCUCCGUGUUGUCUGGCAAGGAAUUGGGUAAUGAAUGACCACGUUAGGAACCACUUGGCCAGAAAACAGAUGAGAACAACAUUGGUGAGCACUGUCUGAUCAUGAGGAGUGAGAUGAAGGAGGGAGAGAGAUGGAACACCGAUGGUUCAUUGCAGACUUACUUGGGAAACUCUGCAAAGAUGGCACUUUGUGCAUCUUUCUCCUUCACCCAUUUUAUUUCAUUUCUGGGCUGUCAUUUCAGCAACAUCUUUAACAAAUGAAAACCCUCUGCGCAGUCAAUAGUAAUUACAGGAAUUUAUCACAAUUGCCAAUCAAGGUGUGUUGGAAAGACUCAUCUUUCUCGUUUAAAUUAGCCUUCGCUGCGCACAGGCCACAAGUUAUCUUUAGGAAAUCAAUUGUGGGAAAAUUACAGCUUUUGUGGUGUUCUGUGACCUCAGCAGCCAUCACGCAGCUGAGUUCCCUCCCACCCUCCCCCCCCCAGCUGCUUGUGUGGCCUCGUACAGCUGUUUGCUGGGGGGUUUGGACCUCAGCACAAAGCCUGGAAUUGUUCUUCAUGCAUCUGGAGGCAGUGAGGGUGUCAGAUAAAAUGUAGGCAUGAUUCGGGCACUUUUGUAAAUGAACAGGAGGAGAGAAGGCCCUGGUCAGAUUUACACCUUUAUCUGUUUCACUGCUCCGAACCAGGCUGGCAGGAGUUCUGCCUUCGGCAGUGCUGAUGCAGCUCCCAUUGGAAAUGCAGACCAGGCUGACACAGCUCAGGGCAAAAUUCAGCUGUGCGUGGAGCUGCAAACGCCGUCUCCCGGAUGAUUAAUGCACAUUUGUAAGGAGUUUCUUCUCUGCUGAUAAUGCUGCCAUGAGGAAGGAUCUUCAGCUGCUAUAUAUCAGCCUGAGUUCUGACUGUAGGUGAGUACAGGUUUCCUCCUCCACUCCCACUGCUUCCCCAGAGACAGCGGUGUUUGCAGAGGCUUAAUAAAGCAGGAAAGAGAGCAGGUGUGAAAGGAAACAUCAAUUACCAUUAGCCCUGACAAUCCUGGACGAUCCCACCCAUGGCGAAGGCGCAAUGACAGUCAAUUCUGUGGUUCUUUCUAUGCAGAUAAGUGAAGUGCUUUCCUUUUCUGGUGAGGGUGAGGCUGGUGAGGGCACUGGGAUGGAGGAAGGUGUGGAUUUCUGUUUGUGAGGUCUGUGCUGUUGUUGUAACUGGACUGAGUUCAGACUUCCACAGGCAAUUCCUCCCCUGAAGACUCUGCAACCUGAACACAUGGGAGAACCAAUGGUUCUGCUGCACAGCACUCAUUAGAGAAGGGGAAUUCAUGGCCAGGUAUUCGAAGGUGCCCAGGAAUGGGUCUUCUGCUGGAGCAAACACUAGAGCCACUAGAGCUGAGCUGAGUUCCAAGUGGUUUCCAAAUACAGAGCGGGUUCUCCUGCUCUGAUGAGCUGCUUGCAGUGCUCAGGGCUCUACGUGCUGUCCCCAAAGGGGCGGCCUGAAGCCUCAGCAGCAGUCCUCAGUGCUGCUUCCUAAUUAGCACCCUCUUCCUCUGACUCGGACAUCUGCUUGCACUGAGUUUCACAGGUUCUUCAAUAGCUAAUGGGUGGUAUUUAUUUCCAUUCCUUUGGUGCCUUAAAUAUAACAAUAAUUCAGUGUAUCUCAUUUUGGGGGAAUGAAAGAUCACCCUUAUUUUCAGCUCAUUUUUUGUGUUUUAUUUCUCUCCCUUUUUUUAUUGAGCUCUGAACAUUAAUAAUCAGCCCUCAUUAACUCAGUUAAUUCUUCAAAUCCUCAUAUUCUUCAUGCCCAGCACCAUAAAGCCAAAGAAGGGACUAAUGAAAGCUGAAGAGAUGGUUAGAGUUAUUAAAAAUCAAUUUUUUUUGUAUCUGGUAACCCUGGGGUGUUAAUAUUCUCAUCUCAUGUCUUCUCAGCCUCAUUCCUCCCACAGGAACUCUGGGUUUGCAGAGCGCAGGAGGACCUCAGUGCAGGAUAUUCAGGAGCCCUUUGGUUUUGAGGCCGUCCCAUGAUGUUACAGCACAUCUCCUGGGGGAGUUCUGAGGUCUCUGCAGUGCAGGAAGGAGAGUUUUGCAGUCCUGAAGACGGUCGUGCACUGCUGAGCACUGCAAUCAGCAUUAGAGGAGGGCAGGGUGAGGGUUGUGCAGGCACUGUUCCCUCUUGCGCAGGCAGAGCGCUGCUGGUAAGGGGCUGGGAGCAGCCUGAGCUCUGCCCUUCAGCUCAGAUUAGCGAUAAUGGAAAAUGCAGAACAUUAAACAGCGGCGUGAUUGCAUUGCGGAGGAGGACUGGCAAAUGGGUUCGUCCUGAUGCAAGGGUGUGAAAAAGGGGUCGCCGAGCUGAGUUUACUUCAGGCUUAAGAAGCGAGAGAAAUGUUUUUCAGGUUUUGCAACAAUUCAUUCCUGUCUUGUUUUUGAUCUGACUUCAUUCCCUCAGCGUGCCUCUCCUUUCAGCAGUGUCUUUAAUUCAUGAAUUCAUCUGCACGUCUUGUUUUCCUGAAUUACCCUUCCCAUUUCCUUUACUGGGGUGAAUCCGAAUGUCCCCCUCCAAACCAAAUGCUGCCCAUUGGAACACAGUCCUUGGUGCAGAGAUCCCUGUUGCUGUGGCAGGGCAGGGCUGCUGAGGAGGGAGGGAGGAGAAGGGGAGCAGCAGAGCCAGCAGAGCUGGUGAUGUGCAGCUGCAGAGCUCCCGCUGGGCACUGCCGGGCUGAGACUGGGCACCAUGGCAACCAGGAUGAUGCUCCUUGGAGUCCCUGAUCUGCUAAAUGGGUGGCAAUCUCGUUAUGAAAGGUGGAGAAAGGUGGUUUUUUCCCCAGCAUUUUCCUCCCCCUAAUGUUGACAAUGCACCAAGAGGAACAAAACACGCUUCUGGAGCACUCAGACCCACUGCCGUGGGAUGGGGUGGUGGUGUGGGUGGCCAUGCUGCUGAGCUGUGUUCCCUUCAGAGCAUCACUGCCUCCUGUGCUCACCCAGCGGGCGGCUCUCAGGGGGAUCCCAUUGUGUAUGCUGCCCGGGUUCCUGCGGGAUUCGCUUUUAAAUCUCUUUUUCAAACAGAUAAUUAAAACAUAAUGGUGUUUACAUUACAGAUGGAGCUGAGAGAAAAAUAAUAAUAGUAAUAAUAAUCGUAAUAAACACUACUUUGCCACUCAGGGGAGUUUGUCAAAUGACUCUUACAGAGGCUUGGCGCACUUUAAUGAGUCUAAAGAAGAGGAUUUACGCUGAACUAACUCACUCCAUGGCGCACACGUGGCGGUGGGAUGAGGGAGCUCUCCGCAGUGCUGAACCUGCAGCAGGACGACAUGGAAGAAAAUAAAGGAAACGGUAUUAAAAUCCCAUAAUUUUUACUGCAAUGGAUAUGCAGAAUGAAAUUGCAGCUCUGCAGAGUCCAGAAGCUAUUCUAAAUUAAUGGCUUGGCUUUUCCAGUCCAUUCAAACAAGCUCAUUUCAUGCAAGAUAAAUUACAGGACCUGCCACCCGCGCUCCCCAAAGAGAGCUUUUUGUAAUUCACAAUGUGUGUGUAAGAGAAUGGGCGGCUGUUUUUCUGACAGAUAUCCUGUGGCACAAUGACCCACUCCUGAGGCUGCAGUGUUUGAUUCCCACAGUGGGGCCGGAGCUGUGAGCUGUAGCUGCAGGAGGAGGGGGAAAGGACCAAAGGAAGGACCUGGUUCAAUCAACCCAAACAGCCCAUUUGGGUCUCUAGUAGACAGGAGAUUGACUGCGUGCUUCCCUCACUCUGGAGGCACUGAUGGAUACCCUCUGGAUGCACCCCCUGAGCAUUCCAUCCCCUCCAUCGUUGCACUCCUCUGGGAACUAAGAGAAAUCAAACCAGCGUGAAUACUUGCCAGCUUGUACAUUAUGCAGUACUUUGAAGCACGUUUCUUCCUACACCUUGAGCAUACACAGGGGACCGAUUUUCCUCCUGCUCAUGCUGAUGUGUGGAGCUGUCAGUGGGAACUGUGUGGCUCCUGGGUUACCCCCCAGUCAGUGCAAACAGCAUCAGUCAUGGGAGGAGUACAUCACUUUUACAGGGAGGACUCCAUGAUAAAUCCAGGCCGCACAGAGGACGUUCAAUAGGCAGAGUCCUUUACUUACAACUUAUGGAACAAUGUGAUAUCCAACUCAGAACACAGUCAGAGUUUUGUUAAGCUUGCUUUCAGCCAUCAGCGGGUGACAACAGAUUUAUUAACUGGAGUGGAUGCCCAGGAGCUCAGAUUCGUGACUUAAUGGAGCUGGACUCUGCUGGGUGCUGUGGAAAUACAAAAUGGGUUCAUAUAGAAGUCUGAUGGAAACUAUCAGUGCUCCAUCCUCGCUGGGCAUGUGCCUCUGUGCAUGGUGCUUCUUCCCAACCAGAGCACAUCAGAGCCAGAGCAGAGCUGCUGUCUUCACAUUUAUCCCCAUUCCCAAAGACUCGGCUGAACAAUCAAGGAGGUGAACUCCCAACCUGGAGAUUACUGCUGCAUUAAUAAAGCAACUGUGAACGAACUGCUUCAGCUGCUUGAGCCAACCAGGAUUAUUAAACGAGCUCCCUGAUUUAAUUAGAGUGCGUAAAACUCAUGCUAAAAACAAAAAUGCAGCUCUCAGCUGGAACGUGAGCUUUGUGCAGGAGGGGUCACUGCGAAGGUCAGCUCUUCCUGCAGUUUAUUCACAGUGAUUGAAUCAAACACUGAGGUGGAAGCAGACAGCCCCAGCAGAGCUGCUGUCCUGCAGCACAGCUCUGGGCACUGCCUGAGGGCAGCAGGCACUGCGGCUUUGUUCCGCCUGCCCGGCUCCUUGUGUGAAACAGCCUGAAAGAACAGGGUCUGCAUUGGAUUACAGAAAUAAAGCCACGUGCAUCAGCACUGCCAGUCUUACUGCAUUGCACACAGCGUGAGCUGCUCCCUGCUGGGCAGAUGGACACGGAGACUCAGGGACAUGGGGACACAAGG
ensembl:lncRNA